GUGCAACCACGUGAUAUACGUGUAAGGCCUUUAUUAGGCUGCAAGAGGCAGCCUUUAGGGGCCUGUACACGUGGUUGACGGUGUUGUGAAGACGUGGCCCUAUGGAAAACAACUUGGGACGUCGUAGUCGAUUGAGCGCGGAAGGAUAAGACCAAUGAUAACCUGCGCAGGAACGUGCAACCACGUGAUAUACGUGUAAGGCCUUUAUUAGGCUGCAAGAGGCAGCCUUUAGGGGCCUGUACACGUGUUUGACGGUGUUGUGAAGCCGUGGCCCUAUGGAAAACAACUUGGGACGUCGUAGUCGAUUGAGCGCGGAAGGAUAAGACCAAUGAUAACCUGCGCAGGAACGUGCAACCACGUGAUAUACGUGUAAGGCCUUUAUUAGUGUACAAGAGGCUAUAUUACAGCCCUUAGGGGCUUGUACGUGUGGCUGACGCUGUUAUAAAGCCAUGGCGCAAUGAAAAACUACUUGGGACGUCGUAGUCCAUUGAGAGUGGAAGGAUAAGACCAAUGGUAACUUGCGCAGGCACGUGCAACCACGUGAUAUACGUGGAAGGCCUUUAUUAGGGUACAAGAGGCUAUAUUGCAGCCCUUAGGGGCCUGUACCUGUAAUUGACAGCGUUAUAACGCCAUGACACAAUGGUAAACAACUUGGAACGUCGUAGUCCAUUGAGAGUGGAAGGAUUAGACGAAUAGUAACCUGCGCAGGCACGUGGAACAACGCGAAUUGGGUGUACGGCCUUUAUUAGGCUGCAAAAGGUCAUAUUACAGCCUUUAGAGACCUGUACACGUGGUUGACGGUGUUAUAAAGCUGUGGCGCAAUUGCAAACAACUUGGGACGUCUUAGUCCAUUGAGAGUGGAAAGAUUAGUCCAAUCGUAACUUGCGCAGGCACGUGGAACAACGUGAUUUAUGUGUACGGUCUCUAUUAGUCAGCAAAAGGCCAUACUAUAGCCUUUAGAGGCAUGUACACGUGGCUGACUGUGUUAUAAAGCCAUGGCGCAAUGGAAAACAACUUGGGACUUCGUAGUCCUUUGAGAGUGGAAGGAUAAGACUAAUGAUAACCUGCGCAGGCACGUGCAACCACGUGAUAUACGUGUAAGGCCUUUAUUAGUGUACAAAAGGCUAUAUUGCAGCCCUUAGGGGCUUGUACGUGUGGCUGACGCUGUUAUAAAGCCAUGGCGCAAUGGAAAACUACUUGGGACGUCGUAGUUCAUUGAGAGUGGAAGGAGAAGACCAAUGGUAACCUGCGCAGGCACGUGCAACCACGUGAUAUACGUGUAAGGCCUUUAUUAGGCUGCAAGAGGCCUUAUUACAGUCGUUAGACGCAUGUACUUGUAGUUAACGGUGUUAUAACGCCAUGGCGCAAUGGAAAACGACUUGUGACGUCGUAGUCCAUUGAGAGUGGAAGGAUUAGACCAAUGGUAACCUGCGCAGGCACGUGCAACCACGUGAUAUACGUGUAAGGCCUUUAUUAGGCUGCAAGAGGCCAUAUUACAGUCGUUAGACGCAUGUACUUGUAGUUAACGGUGUUAUAACGCCAUGGCGCAAUGGAAAACGACUUGUGACGUCGUAGUCCAUUGAGAGUGGAAGGAUUAGACCAAUGGUAACCUGCGCAGGCACGUGGAACAACGUGAUUUAUGUAUACGGACUUUAUUAGGCCGCAAAAGGCCAUAUUACAGCCUUUAGGGGCCUGUACACGUGUUUGACGGUGUUGUGAAGCCGUGGCGCUAUGAAAAACAACUUGGGACUUCGUAGUCCUUUGAGAGUGGAAGGAUAAGACCAAUGAUAACCUGCGCAGGCACGUGCAACCACUUGAUAUUCGUGUAAGGCCUUUAUUAGGCUGCAAGAGGCCUUAUUACAGUCGUUAGACGCAUGUACUUGUAGUUAACGGUGUUAUAACGCCAUGGCGCAAUGGAAAUCGACUUGUGACGUCGUAGUCCAUUGAGAGUGGAAGGAUUAGACCAAUGGUAACCUGCGCAGGCACGUGGAACAACGUGAUUUAUGUAUACGGACUUUAUUAGGCCGCAAAAGGCCAUAUUACAGCCUUUAGGGGCCUGUACACGUGUUUGACGGUGUUGUGAAGCCGUGGCGCUAUGAAAAACAACUUGGGACUUCGUAGUCCUUUGAGAGUGGAAGGAUAAGACCAAUGAUAACCUGCGCAGGCACGUGCAACCACUUGAUAUACGUGUAAGGCCUUUAUUAGGCUGCAAGAGGCCUUAUUACAGUCGUUAGACGCAUGUACUUGUAGUUAACGGUGUUAUAACGCCAUGGCGCAAUGGAAAACGACUUGUGACGUCGUAGUCCAUUGAGAGUGGAAGGAUUAGACCAAUGGUAACCUGCGCAGGCACGUGGAACAACGUGAUUUAUGUAUACGGACUUUAUUAGGCCGCAAAAGGCCAUAUUACAGCCUUUAGGGGCCUGUACACGUGUUUGACGGUGUUGUGAAGCCGUGGCGCUAUGAAAAACAACUUGGGACUUCGUAGUCCUUUGAGAGUGGAAGGAUAAGACCAAUGAUAACCUGCGCAGGCACGUGCAACCACUUGAUAUACGUGUAAGGUCUUUAUUAGGCCGCAAGAGGCCAUAUUACAGUCGUUAGACGCAUGUACUCGUAGUUAACGGUGUUAUAACGCCAUGGCGCAACGGAAAACGACUUGGGACGUCGUAGUCCAUUGAGAGGGGAAGGAUUAGACCAAUGGUAACCUGCGCAGGAACGUGCAACCACGUGAUAUACGUGUAAGGCCUUUAUUAGGGUUCAAGAGGCUAUAUUACAGCCGUUUGGGGCCUGUGCGCGUGGCUGACGCUGUUAUAAAGCUAUGGCGCAAUGGAAAACAACUUGGGACGUCGUAGUCCAUUGAGAGUGGAAGGAUAAGACCAAUGGUAACCUGCGCAGGCACGUGGAACAACGUGAUUCAUGUAUGCGGACUUUAUUAGGCCGAAAAAGGCCAUAUUACAGCCUUUAGGGGCCUGUACACGUGUUUGACGGUGUUGUAAAGCCGUGGCGCUAUAGAAAACAACUUGGGACUUCGUAGUCCUUUGAGAGUGGAAGGAUAAGACAAAUGAUAACCUGCGCAGGAACGUGCAACCACGUGAUAUACGUGUAAGGCCUUUAUUAGUGUACAAGAGGCUAUAUUACAGCCCUUAGGGGCUUGUACGUGUGGCUGACGCUGUUAUAAAGCCAUGGCGCAAUGAAAAACUACUUGGGACGUCGUAGUUCAUUGAGAGUGGAAGGAGAAGACUAAUGGUAACCUGCGCAGGCACGUGCAACCACGUGAUAUAUGUGUAAGGCCUUUAUUAGGCUGCAAAAAGCCAUAUUACAGUCGUUAGACGCAUGUACCCGUAGUUAACGGUGUUAUUACUCCAUGGCGCAAUGGAAAACAACUUGGGACGUCGUAGUCCAUUGAGAGUGGAAGGAUAAGACCAAUGGUAACUUGAGCAGGCACGUGCAACCACGUGAUAUACGUGUAAGGCCUUUAUUAGGGUACAAGAGGCUAUAUUGCAGCCCUUAGGGGCCUGUACCUGUAAUUGACGGCGUUAUAACGCCAUGGCACAAUGGUAAACAACUUGGAACGUCGUAGUCCAUUGAGAGUGGAAGGAUUAGACGAAUAGUAACCUGCGCAGGCACGUGGAACAACGCGAAUUGGGUGUACGGCCUUUAUUAGGCUGCAAAAGAUCAUAUUACAGCCUUUAGAGACCUGUACACGUGGUUGACGGUGUUAUAAAGCUGUGGCGCAAUUGCAAACAACUUGGGACGUCUUAGUCCAUUGAGAGUGGAAAGAUUAGUCCGAUCGUAACUUGCGCAGGCACGUGGAACAACGUGAUUUAUGUGUACGGCCUCUAUUAGGCAGCAAAAGGCCAUACUAUAGCCUUUAGAGGCAUGUACACGUGGAUGACUGUGUUAUAAAGCCAUGGCGCAAUGGAAAACAACUUGGGACUUCGUAGUCCUUUGAGAGUGGAAGGAUAAGACCAAUGAUAACCUGCGCAGGCACGUGCAACCACGUGAUAUACGUGUAAGGCCUUUAUUAGUGUACAAGAGGCUAUAUUACAGCCCUUAGGGGCUUGUACGUGUGGCUGACGCUGUUAUAAAGCCAUGGCGCAAUGGAAAACUACCCGGGACGUCGUAGUUCAUUGAGAGUGGAAGGAUAAGACCAAUGAUAACCUGCGCAGGCACGUGCAACCACUUGAUAUACGUGUAAGGCCUUUAUUAGGCUGCAAGAGGCCAUAUUACAGUCGUUAGACGCAUGUACUUGUAGUUAACGGUGUUAUAACGCCAUGGCGCAAUGGAAAACGACUUGUGACGUCGUAGUCCAUUGAGAGUGGAAGGAUUAGACCAAUGGUAACCUGCGCAGGCACGUGGAACAACGUGAUUUAUGUAUACGGACUUUAUUAGGCCGCAAAAGGCCAUAUUACAGCCUUUAGGGGCCUGUACACGUGUUUGACGGUGUUGUGAAGCCGUGGCGCUAUGAAAAACAACUUGGGACUUCGUAGUCCUUUGAGAGUGGAAGGAUAAGACCAAUGAUAACCUGCGCAGGCACGUGCAACCACUUGAUAUACGUGUAAGGUCUUUAUUAGGCCGCAAGAGGCCAUAUUACAGUCGUUAGACGCAUGUACUCGUAGUUAACGGUGUUAUAACGCCAUGGCGCAACGGAAAACGACUUGGGACGUCGUAGUCCAUUGAGAGGGGAAGGAUUAGACCAAUGGUAACCUGCGCAGGAACGUGCAACCACGUGAUAUACGUGUAAGGCCUUUAUUAGGGUUCAAGAGGCUAUAUUACAGCCGUUUGGGGCCUGUGCGCGUGGCUGACGCUGUUAUAAAGCUAUGGCGCAAUGGAAAACAACUUGGGACGUCGUAGUCCAUUGAGAGUGGAAGGAUAAGACCAAUGGUAACCUGCGCAGGCACGUGGAACAACGUGAUUCAUGUAUGCGGACUUUAUUAGGCCGAAAAAGGCCAUAUUACAGCCUUUAGGGGCCUGUACACGUGUUUGACGGUGUUGUAAAGCCGUGGCGCUAUGGAAAACAACUUGGGACUUCGUAGUCCUUUGAGAGUGGAAGGAUAAGACAAAUGAUAACCUGCGCAGGAACGUGCAACCACGUGAUAUACGUGUAAGGCCUUUAUUAGGGUUCAAGAGGCUAUAUUACAGCCGUUUGGGGCCUGUGCGCGUGGCUGACGCUGUUAUAAAGCUAUGGCGCAAUGGAAAACAACUUGGGACGUCGUAGUCCAUUGAGAGUGGAAGGAUAAGACCAAUGGUAACCUGCGCAGGCACGUGGAACAACGUGAUUCAUGUAUGCGGACUUUAUUAGGCCGCAAAAGGCCAUAUUACAGCCUUUAGGGGCCUGUACACGUGUUUGACGGUGUUGUAAAGCCGUGGCGCUAUGGAAAACAACUUGGGACUUCGUAGUCCUUUGAGAGUGGAAGGAUAAGACCAAUGAUAACCUGCGCAGGCACGUGCAACCACGUGAUAUACGUGUAAGGCCUUUAUUAGUGUACAAGAGGCUAUAUUACAGCCCUUAGGGGCUUGUACGUGUGGCUGACGCUGUUAUAAAGCCAUGGCGCAAUGAAAAACUACUUGGGACGUCGUAGUUCAUUGAGAGUGGAAGGAGAAGACUAAUGGUAACCUGCGCAGGCACGUGCAACCACGUGAUAUAUGUGUAAGGCCUUUAUUAGGCUGCAAAAAGCCAUAUUACAGUCGUUAGACGCAUGUACCCGUAGUUAACGGUGUUAUUACGCCAUGGCGCAAUGGAAAACAACUUGGGACGUCGUAGUCCAUUGAGAGUGGAAGGAUAAGACCAAUGGUAACUUGCGCAGGCACGUGCAACCACGUGAUAUACGUGUAAGGCCUUUAUUAGGGUACAAGAGGCUAUAUUGCAGCCCUUAGGGGCCUGUACCUGUAAUUGACGGCGUUAUAACGCCAUGGCACAAUGGUAAACAACUUGGAACGUCGUAGUCCAUUGAGAGUGGAAGGAUUAGACGAAUAGUAACCUGCGCAGGCACGUGGAACAACGCGAAUUGGGUGUACGGCCUUUAUUAGGCUGCAAAAGAUCAUAUUACAGCCUUUAGAGACCUGUACACGUGGUUGACGGUGUUAUAAAGCUGUGGCGCAAUUGCAAACAACUUGGGACGUCUUAGUCCAUUGAGAGUGGAAAGAUUAGUCCGAUCGUAACUUGCGCAGGCACGUGGAACAACGUGAUUUAUGUGUACGGCCUCUAUUAGGCAGCAAAAGGCCAUACUAUAGCCUUUAGAGGCAUGUACACGUGGAUGACUGUGUUAUAAAGCCAUGGCGCAAUGGAAAACAACUUGGGACUUCGUAGUCCUUUGAGAGUGGAAGGAUAAGACCAAUGAUAACCUGCGCAGGCACGUGCAACCACGUGAUAUACGUGUAAGGCCUUUAUUAGUGUACAAGAGGCUAUAUUACAGCCCUUAGGGGCUUGUACGUGUGGCUGACGCUGUUAUAAAGCCAUGGCGCAAUGGAAAACUACCCGGGACGUCGUAGUUCAUUGAGAGUGGAAGGAGAAGACCAAUGGUAACCUGCGCAGGCACGUGCAACCACGUGAUAUACGUGUAAGGCCUUUAUUAGGCUGCAAGAGGCCAUAUUACAGUCGUUAGACGCAUGUACUUGUAGUUAACGGUGUUAUAACGCCAUGGCGCAAUGGAAAACGACUUGUGACGUCGUAGUCCAUUGAGAGUGGAAGGAUUAGACCAAUGGUAACCUGCGCAGGUUAUCAUUGGUCUUAUCCUUCCACUCUCAAAGGACUACGAAGUCCCAAGUUGUUUUCCAUAGCGCCACGGCUUUACAACACCGUCAAACACGUGUACAGGCCCCUAAAGGCUGUAAUAUGGCCUUUUGCGGCCUAAUAAAGUCCGCAUACAUGAAUCACGUUGUUCCACGUGCCUGCGCAGGUUACCAUUGGUCUUAUCCUUCCACUCUCAAUGGACUACGACGUCCCAAGUUGUUUUCCAUUGCGCCAUAGCUUUAUAACAGCGUCAGCCACGCGCACAGGCCCCAAACGGCUGUAAUAUAGCCUCUUGAACCCUAAUAAAGGCCUUACACGUAUAUCACGUGGUUGCACGUUCCUGCGCAGGUUAUCAUUUGUCUUAUCCUUCCACUCUCAAAGGACUACGAAGUCCCAAGUUGUUUUCCAUAGCGCCACGGCUUUACAACACCGUCAAACACGUGUACAGGCCCCUAAAGGCUGUAAUAUGGCCUUUUUCGGCCUAAUAAAGUCCGCAUACAUGAAUCACGUUGUUCCACGUGCCUGCGCAGGUUACCAUUGGUCUUAUCCUUCCACUCUCAAUGGACUACGACGUCCCAAGUUGUUUUCCAUUGCGCCAUAGCUUUAUAACAGCGUCAGCCACGCGCACAGGCCCCAAACGGCUGUAAUAUAGCCUCUUGAACCCUAAUAAAGGCCUUACACGUAUAUCACGUGGUUGCACGUUCCUGCGCAGGUUACCAUUGG